rnacentral:rRNA from 1 species
CCUACGGGAGGCAGCAGUGGGGGAUAUUGCACAAUGGGGGAAACCCUGAUGCAGCGACGCCGCGUGAGUGAAGAAGUAUUUCGGUAUGUAAAGCUCUAUCAGCAGGGAAGAAAAUGACAGUACCUGACCAAGAAGCCCCGGCUAACUACGGGCCAGCAGCCGCGGUAAUACGUAGGGGGCAAGCGUUAUACGGAUUUAAUGGGGGUAAAGGGGACGUAGACGGUUAGGUAAGUCUGGAGUGAAAGCCCCGGGCCCAACCCCGGGACUGCUUUGGAAACUGUGUCACUGGAGUACAGGAGGGGCAGGCGGAAUGCCUGGUGUAGCGGUGAAAUGCGUAGAUAUCAGGAGGAACACCGGCGGCGAAGGCGGCCUGCUGGACUGAAACUGACGUUGAGGCUCGAAAGCGUGGGGAGCAAACAGGAUUAGAUACCCGGGUAGUC